GCAGCUACACAUGCAGUCGAACGGUAACAGGAAGCAGCUUGCUGCUUCGCUGACGAGUGGCGGACGGGUGAGUAAUGUCUGGGAAACUGCCUGAUGGAGGGGGAUAACUACUGGAAACGGUAGCUAAUACCGCAUAACGUCGCAAGACCAAAGAGGGGGACCUUCGGGCCUCUUGCCAUCGGAUGUGCCCAGAUGGGAUUAGCUAGUAGGUGGGGUAACGGCUCACCUAGGCGACGAUCCCUAGCUGGUCUGAGAGGAUGACCAGCCACACUGGAACUGAGACACGGUCCAGACUCCUACGGGAGGCAGCAGUGGGGAAUAUUGCACAAUGGGCGCAAGCCUGAUGCAGCCAUGCCGCGUGUAUGAAGAAGGCCUUCGGGUUGUAAAGUACUUUCAGCGGGGAGGAAGGUGUUGAGGUUAAUAACCUCAGCAAUUGACGUUACCCGCAGAAGAAGCACCGGCUAACUCCGUGCCAGCAGCCGCGGUAAUACGGAGGGUGCAAGCGUUAAUCGGAAUUACUGGGCGUAAAGCGCACGCAGGCGGUCUGUCAAGUCGGAUGUGAAAUCCCCGGGCUCAACCUGGGAACUGCAUUCGAAACUGGCAGGCUAGAGUCUUGUAGAGGGGGGUAGAAUUCCAGGUGUAGCGGUGAAAUGCGUAGAGAUCUGGAGGAAUACCGGUGGCGAAGGCGGCCCCCUGGACAAAGACUGACGCUCAGGUGCGAAAGCGUGGGAGCAAACAGGAUUAGAUACCCUGGUAGUCCACGCCGUAAACGAUGUCGACUUGGAGGUUGUGCCCUUGAGGCGUGGCUUCCGGAGCUAACGCGUUAAGUCGACCGCCUGGGGAGUACGGCCGCAAGGUUAAAACUCAAUGAAUUGACGGGGGCCCGCACAAGCGGUGGAGCAUGUGGUUUAAUUCGAUGCAACGCGAGAACCUUACCUACUCUUGACAU
rnacentral:rRNA from 1 species